ensembl:ncRNA T09D3.10 ncRNA
UCGGAAGUGAAAAUGAUGAAAAUGUGAAAGGAAGCCUAAUAUGCUUGAUAAUUUGAUAAUUCGGUUGGUUUGUCUGUUCUGAAAAUGCAAAGGGAUUUGGAAUGGGUGGAGCAGAACUUAAGAACUUCUU